rnacentral:rRNA from 1 species
CAAGUCGAGCGCUACCUUCGGGUGGAGCGGCGGACGGGUUAGUAACGCGUGGGAACAUACCCUUUACUAAGGAAUAGCCACUGGAAACGGUGAGUAAUACCUUAUACGCCCUUCGGGGGAAAGAUUUAUCGGUGAAGGAUUGGCCCGCGUUAGAUUAGAUAGUUGGUGGGGUAACGGCCUACCAAGUCUACGAUCUAUAGCUGGUUUGAGAGGAUGAUCAGCAACACUGGGACUGAGACACGGCCCAGACUCCUACGGGAGGCAGCAGUGGGGAAUCUUAGACAAUGGGCGCAAGCCUGAUCUAGCGAUGCCGCGUGAGUGACGAAGGUCUUAGGAUCGUAAAGCUCUUUCGCCAGGGAUGAUAAUGACAGUACCUGGUAAAGAAACCCCGGCUAACUCCGUGCCAGCAGCCGCGGUAAUACGGAGGGGGUUAGCGUUGUUCGGAAUUACUGGGCGUAAAGCGUACGUAGGCGGAUCAGA